UGGGGAAUUUUGGACAAUGGGCGAAAGCCUGAUCCAGCAAUGCCGCGUGUGUGAAGAAGGCCUUCGGGCUGUAAAGCACUUUUGUCCGGAAAGAAAUCCUUGGCUCUAAUACAGUCGGGGGAUGACGGUACCGGAAGAAUAAGCACCGGCUAACUACGUGCCAGCAGCCGCGGUAAUACGUAGGGUGCAAGCGUUAAUCGGAAUUACUGGGCGUAAAGCGUGCGCAGGCGGUUUGCUAAGACCGAUGUGAAAUCCCCGGGCUCAACCUGGGAACUGCAUUGGUGACUGGCAGGCUAGAGUAUGGCAGAGGGGGGUAGAAUUCCACGUGUAGCAGUGAAAUGCGUAGAGAUGUGGAGGAAUACCGAUGGCGAAGGCAGCCCCCUGGGCCAAAUACUGACGCUCAUGCACGAAAAGCGUGGGGAGCAAACAGGAUUAGAUACCCUGGUAGUCCACGCCCUAAAACGAUGUCAACUAGUUGUUGGGGAUUCAUUUCCUUAGUAACGUAGCUAACGCGUGAAGUUGACCGCCUGGGGAGUACGGUCGCAAGAUUAAAACUCAAAUGAAUUGACGGGGUCAUAGCUGUUUCCU
rnacentral:rRNA from 1 species